GAAGUGAUGAGUUUUUUUUAGAAUUUCGACAUAAAAAUGAUGGUAUGCUCGGUUACGACUUCUGUUUGGAAUUGAACGAGGAAUGAAUUAUUGCAGACACUAGAGACAAGGAAGUUUUCUCUGAAGACAGUUCCUUAAAGAAAAAUUGAUGUUGUAGUAUGGGACCGAGGAUGGCACAUUUCAAAAUUAUUUGGUAUUUGAGUUCCUCAGACACAGCCUAUUUCUGUUUCUGUGAGGUUGGUCUAGAGAUAUAUCUUUAAUUUAUAUCUGGAAUUUAGCAAGGGAUGUUGAAUUCGCAAUUUUAGUCAUUUUUGGAAGAUAGAGAUGUUUGCUUAGGAAGACUUCUUGUUCGUUGAAACAUUUCUCGUCCGUAGUUUCAAAAUUGCAGCCCUUUGGUGUGGUUAUUAAGAAAAUUCCAAGGAAAAUUCUUUUUAGAGCAGCUAUGUUAGUCCUUCUACAGACCAUGCAAAUUUAUAUUCCAAAAGGAGAGACUGCUAUGACUCUGGCAUUAUCAAUUUGUCGGAUGAAAUUCUUCUCAAUAUGAACUAGAUGAUAUUGGCAUGAAUGAGGGAAUUUCUUCAGUUGGUAAAAUCAAUCAUUCACUUUGGACCCAUCAAAUAAUUUAUCAUUUUGGAAUAAUAUGUUGAGUGCAUAUCAACACAAGAUGAAGAGGUGUAGUGAUACUGUCUAAUAAUUGUAUUAUUACUUGUUGGGAUCGAGUGUGAUGGUGGUAAGGAUAGGGAAUCAAACCAUAUUAUUUUAUCCUUUUUAUAUUUAUAGAGUAACAACACUGUUUUAUUACUUCAACAUGGUCAACAAGAAUGCUCUAUUUAUCCUAAUCCAGUUCUACUAACAAAUGUAAUAUUGCUAAGCCUGUUGUAUUGGGUUAAUGUAGUCUAUUCGACUUUGAUCAAUAGCCGUGGAUUGAAGAAUGUGCGAUAUUGGCUAAGGAAUAUAAUUGUUGCAGUUCAUUGGGUUGCCUAUUCUUGAAUUAUGAAAAUUUAUUAAAUAUGACUCGACUAAUCCAUUACACGAGAACAAAUGAUAAUGGGAGAAGCGAGGGGAGAAGGUUUCAGGAUGAACACUAGGGAAAUGAAGAAUAAACGCUAUUCUGAAUUCAACAAAAUAUGCAUCAACUUGGAUAAAUUCAUAAUACUUAUGAUAUUCUUUCUCAUCCAUGAAAAGUGAAUUAUUUUCAGAAUAAUUCUUGGCAGUUUUAGUUAUAAUUGAUCUUCACUCAGAAAAUUUGACAAUGUUGUGAUGCAAUGUUCCUAGUUUCCAAAAACUUAUGGCUUUUUCAAUUUAAACAAUUAAUUCAAUAAUAAUACUGUGAGAAGUUCCUAUUUGAUCCAUUAGGUUUUUAUCUGUAUAUGAUAAUAAAAAGGCUAUGACUAGAGUUCCGACUCGGGAUCUGUGUCCGACUGACAAAUUCAAAUGACUCAAUUA